CGUUAUACCUUGCAUAGGCAUAGCACGAACAAAAUGUACGGUAACAAAGUUUCCAAGAAAAAUCUAUUCGUGUCCUCAGUACGAAUUUUGCACAGUCAUGGUGUGCAAAAGGAACAGCUGCGGCAAGGGAAUUACGUUUGAUUUAUCGUCUUUCUAAUGACGUGAAUGGCGUUGCCAAGAAAACCCAAAGUGAAAAUUUAUGUCUUUUUCGUGUGCAAGAUUGGUGAAAUACUGUAUACUCACGUGUAAAAAAAAUUGUGGCUUUCGGUUGAAAAGGACAGGAGAAACCAUUUGUUUCGCUGAAGACUGCUGACGAAUUUUCAACUCUGAACGUCAUCAGCACUCAGCAGGAAGUGAUAAGCUAAUCCAACCUGCACUUCUCGAAAUUUGAUUAUCUAAUAACAACACAAAAUUUUUCAGAACAUUAGGAUUUCCCGAACCAAGGGUAUUUCCCGACAGGUAGGCCAUAAAAGUGGGACAAUCUCUUUUUUCGUUUUAAGCAAUUGUACUGCACGAACCCAAACGACUAACGAGUGAAACCUAUCAUUUUGCAGCUGCGAGUCAUUUAACACAUCAGUACAUUUUUUCCUUCGCUUUCCAGUUUCUACACCCGUUUGGCAUGUCUCUGUCUCUGGUUACUAUUUCAGAACAGCUGCAAGCCAUACAGACUGUGUGUUCAAAUAUUCAUGGACAACAACAAAAUGGAACACUAGUGAAAGUGAUGAAGUUAGACAUAAGGGACAGGCUCAAGGACUGUUGCGGAAUAACAACUAAAUAUUUCCAAAUUUGCGCGCUAGAAUUGUUAUCUUAGCCUUGUUUACAUUUUGAUUAAUAUUCUCUCUUUAGGUCGACCUGUUCUGAAUGUUUUGAAAUCUGUUGAAUGAAUAAAAAAAAAAUUCAUUUGGAUUUGCGGAAAAGUAAGGAAUUCAAACGCAUUUUAACCACAAUUUACGGAUGAAAAAGAAGUCCUUCGGGAACCUCUCCAAGGAGCCUCGGCGUAUUGGUAGAAUCCGUUCCGUCCAGUCGUCCGUGGAUGCUAAUAAGGGCUGUCAAUAGGUGGCUAAAUAUUUCAGUGUGUUUAGGGAUUUAACUAUUGCCCUAUUGUGUUGGUAGUUUUAGAGGGAAGUAGGGGGGGAGGGUCAUCAAAUUGUCGACAUCAGCAGACGACAUUUUGUCUAACAUUUCUUUAUGUUCGAGACGCUGUCCGAGAAGGUUACCUUAGCCAUUGGCUCAUAGCGGGGCAUUCUCUUUCCGGACGUUUUUCGUCAACGUAUCUGAGCUUCUUCAUUGCAUUACGUGCACGUGAUCGCUGCCUUGUCAUGAAGAGGGUCUCCACUAAUUUGCAAGACAAUUGAGAUGAAUAGAGGAAAUUUGAAAAGGGUUCCUUGUUCAUUUUGAGCUGUUAAUGGUGUCGAGUGUGCACUGGUUUUGCAGUCAUUCAGUCGAGAGAUGCCCUGAGAUGGAUGAUCAACUGCUGAGACUAUUCUCAUAUCAUCAUCUUUUGCAAUGGAGAUCCUGUCCGAGAAGGUUAUUAAAUUUAAAUAUUAGGUUUGGUCAACUUACAGGGAUCAUGGGUUUUAACUUGUACUUGCAUGGUUAACUUCUAAUGGUCCUUUUUUAAUGGUUAAACUUCUAAUGGUUCAUUUAUGGUCUGCUGUACAUUUUCCCCAAAAUGUCGUCUCAUGGUUCAUUUUCGUUUCUUCACAUUCAGAAGUACUUUAGAAUAGUUAAAGCAAUAAUGUUGAUAACUUUGAAAUGUGAAGACUUUGUUUCUAAAUUAGAAUUCUAUGAAUUUGUUUCUGAAAUUAUUGAGUUUUUAUUUUUAUGAACAGGGUGUUCAUAGAAACUCAUGUUGGAGUCUAAAAGCUUCUUUAUUGCGUUACGUGAACGUGAUCGCUGCCGUUUAACGGGGAUUCUCUAAGAGGGUCAUAACAUUUUAAGACAACAUUGUGACGGAAAUAGGAAUUCUAAAUGAAAUAGCAGUAAUGCAAGUACUCGUGAGAAAAAAAUUUAAGCAAAAUGCUAACCCUUAAUUUAAGUAUGUGUGCUAUCCAUGCUUGUUUUUAGUUUAGAAUUUACUGAAGUGAGACAUUAAGUUCUUGAUUCAAAUGACAUGGUAACUACUAUGACAAAUCCUGCUUAUAAAUAAGAAGAUCUUAAUCAGCAGAGAGAUUCUUCAAUUUUUUUUUUUACUAAGCAGAACAGAAAUUGAAAAAAAAAAUUCUUCAUUCUUAAAAAGCUUAUUAAAUGAAUUUGUCGUGAUGUGAUGAUCUUAGGCCAUGUUCUUUAUAUUUUUCUCUAGUUAAAUCAUGUAAAUCUCAAAUUUAUAAUUGCCUCAACUGAUAAAUUUAGGUUUCCAUGUUCAGUUUGAUGAGUUGUCUUGUUGUGGCUGUUUGGUGUGCAGUGGUUUUCCAGGAGAGAUGCGUUAAAAAUGUGCUUGUGCAGACUUGCACGCAAUGUUGUUGUGGCUUUAGAGUUUUUUUUUUUUUUCGGGAUAAAGCGGCUUAUGUUGGCAAGAUGGCAAUCACAUGCCACUUAGCCUGACGCCAUCUUCUAUUGACACUCAUUUAUAUUGUUCGUGAUCAACGCGGUCAACUUCGACAUUAUUCUUCUUCACAAAUAUCUCACAGGAUUAAUGGCUUGGUGAGGCUGAGCUUUUUCUUGGCAGUGGAAUGUCUACAUGGACAUGUGGUGAGCUGUUGGAUGAUGACCAAUUUUGACCAUGUGCUGGUGUGGGGAAGUGCUGCAUGCUGUCUGUGGUGUUUCCAUCGUCAGUUAAAUUUAGGAGCUAAUUAUGGUGUUGGUCUUUGGUGUGCAGUUCAUGUUCAGGUGGUUUUGUUGCAGCCAGCUGGUGAAAGCGAGUUCCAGUCGAGUUGAGCUGGAGCUUAUUGAAGCAGUCAACAAUGCUGGUGUUAUUCUGAAGUGUAAUAUCAAUGAAGACAUCUUGAAAUGGACUUGUCAAUCUGCUGAAUGCAGUUUAUGCUGUUUUUGUUAUCAAGAAGUGGAGAAGUAAGACUUGAAGCAAAGCUGCAAGAAAAAGAAAUGGAUUUGGUGUAAAUGUGCAGUCGUUUUGCAGUCUGACUCCUGUUCAAGCUGUUGUUAUCCUGAAUUGUGCUGGAGUCUUGGAAAUAGCUGAUCCUGAAGUUGUGAUGCUGGUGUUAUACUGGAGAAGCUGAUGGUGGUGUUAUCAAGUUACUGUGCCAUUGCAAUUUGGGUGGAUAAAGAAUUAUGUCCAUGCAGUAUAUGAUUGUAGUAACCUUAAGCUAUUUUGUUAUCCAAUAUGGCAUGUUACAUCUUGAAAGUUUAAACAGCAGUUGUGCUUCCUGAUAUUAUCCUAAAUCAUAUAUUUUAAAUAAUGGUGUGUCAAAGUCAACUUGCAAUAUUUCGAUGUGCGUUGGAAAUUUAUACUUGAUAUUUUUUCACAAUUAUAUGUGAAAUGUUAUAAUAAAUAAAACACAACCAA